rnacentral:miRNA from 12 species
GCGUGUGUGCAAGGCAGCCGUAAGGAGGCUGCAGCACAGACACACAGACACACACACACACACACACACACACACACACACACAC